rnacentral:misc_RNA from 1 species
UUUCCGUAGGUGAACCAGCGGAAGGAUCAUUAUUGUAUAAUCGAGGUGCGAGGGCUGUCGCUGACCCGAAAGGUCGUGCACGCCCGAGUGCCCUCACACACAUCCAUCUCACCCCUAUGUGCACCACCGCGUGGGUCCCCCUUUGGCUUGUUCGGAGGGGGGCUUACGUUUUCACACGAACUUUGUAUGCAGUGUAGAAUGUAUUUUUUGUUUUUGCGAUCACGCAAUCAAUACAACUUUCAACAACGGAUCUCUUGGCUCUC